UCUGCCGCAAGUGUGUUGCAUUUGUUGUAUUUGCAUUUAGCGCUGCGCUCAACGGCCUUAUGAAUUUGUCUAGCUGCUCCGUAUAUCUGGGCCUUUGCAGGCGUUGCACGACAAGUGGUUCUCUAACCAGCUUUGUCGCUUCUGGGUUUGGAUGUGCAGCCAGAGAAUUUGCAAAUCGUUCGCUGGCCACAUGGAACGCGCCAUCAAUUGUACACAGCUGCCGCUGCAAGCGAUUGAUUUGGAAAUUUGAGGUGAGAGCGCCCCAGAUGGACAGAGCAUACUUCCAUAUUGGCAUGAUGAGCUGCUUAACAAUCAUCAUUUUGCAGUCUUUUGCCAAUUUGCUGUUACGCCCAAUAAGCCAGCCCAAUUUAAUAGCUCUUGCUUUGGAUUUGACGCAUAAUCUUGUCCCGUGUGUGGCCAGCGUUAAUUUGCAGUCAAGUGUCACUCUCAGGUCACGCAGCAUGUAUAUGACAUGCGCUGUCUUUGUCGCGUUGAUCUUGAAGCACCAUUUCUUAGACCAUUUUACGAAAUGGUGCAGGUACUGUUGGGUCUCGUUUAUCGCAUUGGCCGGAUGAUCAGCGGAGCACAUGAUGACUGUGUCAUCCGCAUAUGUUGACAACAGCAUCGACCUUUCGUUCGGCUCGAGAUGGCGACGAUUUUGCGUGAGUAGUGGCAGCGGCAUGUCAGAGGAGUAAAUUGUAUAUAAAAUUGGGCCCAAGACGCUGCUCUGUAGUUCACCAGCUGAUAUGCAGCCGACUCUGGAUGUUACUCCAUCGUUGCAUUUAACUGCAAAAGUGCGAUCAGACAGACCCUCAGACCCUAUUGAACGCUUCCGAUAUGUCAAUGUAGAUGGCCGAGCAGUAUUGCCGGCAUACGAAGAACGGCAAGUAUGUGCUAAGUCACUCUGGCCAGCUGAUGCUCCGUGCCGUGCUCGCGACGGAUGCCAAAUUGGUGGCUAGGCACUGCAGUGGCAAAAUCCUUGUGCUCAAAUAGGCGCUUGAGCAGGAGUUUCUCAAGGAGUUUUGCGAGGCCAGAUAUCAGGCUGAUUGGUCUGUAAGAUGCCACAUCUUCUGGAGAUUUACCUGGUUUGAAACACAUGAUGAUCUCGGCAUAUUUCCAACAUUUAGGGAAAUAACCUAUACGCAAAAGAAUUAUAUAUGAGUAUCAAAUAUAGUAGAGCCUUCUGCGGCAGUAAUUUUAUUAAUUUGUUCUCGAUUUUGUCGUAUCCAGGUGCUUUGGCUGGCUGCAGUGCAUCAAUUUCCAUCUUUAUUUCCGUCAAUGUUACUGGCUUGAAGUUUAGUUUAUGGCCUUGUUGCAACUGCUGGUGUCGCUUACACCAAUCCUCUUUAAUAUCUGCGCGGUCUUCCUCCGUGUUUAAGAGAGCUGGAGUAAAUCUGUCUUCCAGCUGGGAGACAAAUACUUCAGCUUCUCAUCUGUAGUUUUCGUCCACGUGAUUUUGUCAGUAACAUUGCCGGCCGUGUCAAUAGAGAUUUUUGAGUACUUUAAAGGGUGAUUUGUUUGCGGCUGCUUUUUUAUCUUGUUUGUCAGUUUCCACAAUUUUGGAAUUGUAUAUGGAUCCUGAGUGUUUAUACCCUCAAAUAGUUUGUUAAUGUUAUUG